UCAUGACUACAGCUGAAGCAAAAUGCUUUCUUUUGUGAUAAAAUAUUGUAUGUAACAGAAAGUGUAGACUUCAUGGGCAGCAAGCACCUGUUUAGGUCCCACCACCGCUCUAAGUGGCUGAAUGGUAAAGUUUUCUUAGCUAAAAUUUCACUAGAAAAUGGCUUCUCAAUAGUGAAAAUGUGUCACUUAUGGCUUGGCCUAUUGUUGAAGAAGAACAAAAAUGUGGGAAGGAAGCUAAGGGGAAAGAGAGGAACAGGGGAUCUCCAGGCAGAAGAUGUGGAGUGAAAUGUAUGGCUCAUUGUGAGCAAGAGCUUUUUGUAUUCCCAUUGCUGCAGAUGAUGGGUCUGGAAGGAAAGCUAAAGGAGCAGUUUCAAAGUCCAAGGAAUUUCUGAAAAACCAGGAAUGUUUUGCAAAGGUAGCGUUAACACAAGUCUGGAUCUAAGUAACAUUGGGACAGCUUGAAUUUUAACCUGAGCUGUUUUGCCCACAGGUUGAAAAUGUUCAGCUAUACUCCACAGAAUGUCUCAAAGGCCAUUGAGGAAAUAAUCAAGGAGAUGAAGCAUUCAUGUUCUGUCCACUCAGUCCAUGCAGCAGCUCAGUGGCAAUUGAAAUGCCACUUGAAAUAUAGAUUUAAAUUUUGUACAGGAACUACUAAAGCUCUCUCAUUCCCAGCAAUUUGAGAAGUUCAACACAGCAGGCUCCAACCUCUAUUACUGCUUCAAACUGCUGUUUUCUCUCUUUACUGCUAGCACGAGGCUUCAGAAGAGACACCAAUAAAGACUAUAGAGAAUUGAAUGUUAUAAAA